UUUUUGUACCAGACUAGAAAUGAUUUCCCCACAUCACAGAGAGUGUAAAAGUUAUGACUAGAGGUCUUAAACCAUAACGGGAGGUCCGUAACUGCCUGGUUUGUCUGCACCAUUUUCUUUCCAAGCUCAUUCUAAGCAUAAUUAGCAUGGAUGUGCUAAAGAGUUCACUAUAGUUUUGGCUUGACAAUAUAGGGAGUUAUGGAGUCUGUUUUUAUUCUUUGUCUGGGAUGGUGUGUUUUAAGGUUAUGCAUCAUUAUUAUGGACUCAGAUUUGAAACUAGAGCAAAGAAUUUGAAUUUAGAAAGCUUUAUAUUUGUCCAAAUGCCUUAAGAGCUGUUCUUUUCUUUUUUAGCAAAGUCUAGAAGAUAGGUAGGGAAGAUAAGGAAACUGAGAUGCUGAGAGGGUGAGUGAUUUGUCUAGAGAGACUCCCACAUAUACUCUGGAAGCUCUUAGCUCUCAGGCUCCCCAAGGCAGUUUGGUGCGAUCUCAUCCCCCUUACUUUUCUUUGUGCAGCUAGAUUUACAGACCUGGCUUCUGCUAAAAUUCUCUUUGAAGGUAGACCAGAAAGCCUUUAAAAACUAUGUGCAUAGUAAAAGGAGAACUGAACCCAGUUAAGUGUAUCUAUUUUGCAAGGGAAAAUUCCAAGUCAAGUCAAAUUGACACCUUAGCAGCCAGGAAUCGUUGCUUUGCAACUAAAAGUCAAAAGAGGGGGCUGGGUGCAGCUUUGGAGGACCACUUAUGCAUAAAGUCCUAGUUUUCAUUCCCAGAAACACAGAAAGAUGCAUACAAGGAAAAAAGUGGGUGGGAGGAGAAGGAAGAGGAGGGAAUGAGGAAAGAAGGAACAGACCCAUAACACACAUGAAGAACACACAUGAAGAAUACACAUGAAGAUUGCUUUCGAUGUGGAUUUUAAGUCAUCAAAAAUCCUCUCUGUCAGCAUCAUCUUUGUUUCUGGGUUUGUGUUUCCUUUGGGGCUGGAUGCCUCAGAUAGGUGACAGAGCUAUCUAAACGUGAUGAAACAUUUGAUUCAAAUGACAUGGGAGACCCUCUUUCCUGUAACAUUAACCACAAGUCUCCACCUGCAUUAAAUAAAGCUGCAUGUUACCUCAUAUGUUAAAAUCUUUCUGUGGGAAUAUGCUCAGUCAACUACAUUGUAUUUUAAUUUGUAUUAAGUUUUUUUUUCUUUUUGCUAAGUGUAAAUCAUUUCAUUCUACACAUUUGUUUUGAGUUUGUACUUAACGAUGACCAAAUAUGAAUGUGCAUGCAUUUUUUCCAACUAUCAAAAGGUCUGACAUUAAGCAAACAUAAUAAGGAUUAUUUGAGAAUUUUAUCAAUAACCUGUUUUAAGUUGACAUGUCAAUGUUUUAUCCCAAGCAACACAUUGUAUUGAAACAAUUUUAUAUACUUCUGGAUUUUUAUGAGUACUAUUUCGCAAUCCCAGGUUGAUAGAAAAGAGAUCUUCUGUGUUAACCACUCUAGGAAUUUCUGACUUUUGUGAAUACCACUUGCCCUCCAAAGAGACUUACCAGUGUCCUUUGUUUUUCCCAAUGCCACACCGCUUCUUUUAACAAAUCCUUAUUAGGCUCCCCCUUAGUAAGGAACUCUGCUACUUGCUCCAUACCAGAUCCCACUUAAUCCUGUACAACUCGAAUGUGUUUAUCCUAUAAUGCUGCUUCGACUGGCUUUGUUGGCCUUUUACAGCAGAACUCUAUGUGACCUUAAGAAUGUUAGUUACUGGUCUAAAUUUCUAAGGAAUUUGUCUUGUCUUUACUAAAGAAGGGUAUCCCAUACUAGGGUGAAAAGAUAUUUAUUUUUCUUUUAGAGCAUUUCAGUUGCACAAGGAGGAAAUUUGCCCUUAAAUCUUAGACAAAAUGUGACAAGGGGACUAUAUGACUCGGAAGAGAGGCAACUUGGUAUUGGAAACUUUAUAUCCCCCAAUACAGUGGAAUGCCAGGGCCAAGAAGCAGGAGUGGGUGGGUAGGGGAGCAGGGUGGAGGGAGGGUAUAGGGAACUUUUAGGAUAGCAUUUGAAAUGUAUGUAAAGAAAAUAUCUAAUAAAAAUUAAUUAAUUAAUUAAUUAAUUAAUUAAUUUUUAAAAAAGAAGUUCUGUCCCUGUCUUGUUGCUGUCUGUUUUAGAUUCUAUACAGUAUUUGUGCAGUUAUUAUUUGAGAUAAUGUCAACAAAAGAAAAUUAUUUCUGAGCUUUUUACUGGGUAUAAAUUCCCAGAGCAAUCCUAGAGAAAUAUAGCAUGGC
rnacentral:lncRNA from 1 species